UACACCACAACCAUCCUGAGGACGAAGAAGAAGAAGAAGAAAAUGAUGGAGCACUCUCUGUGGAUUUCAACGUUGUUUUUAAAUUUCUAUUUCAUUUAUUCAUAAAUGGUAGAUAUCAGUGGUUUGUAUGAGAAUUUUGUCGUGUCAUGUACGGACACGAAGGGGAGCGACAAACGGAGGCUCCACGAAGAAACAGGUAACAGGUAAACCUCAGUGGCUGCUGCUGAACGUUACACAGGGAGGUGUGACACUGAAUGUAUAUUUUAGUCUUUUUCGGUGCAAGAAGUUCCAGUUAGAAAGGGAAGGAAAGGUAAAAAAUAAUAAAUAUCUGAGGACUUCAUCUACGGGGGCCAAAGACUGAUAACAUCCGGUCAGCCUCCCGGCCGAAAGUUAUCCUCCGACUGCCUGCCAAGCUACCGCAGUUCAAGGGAAGGUAAGAGACAGCUCAGUUAUCAUACUUUAACAUCCACACAUUUGUAGGCCAAAGUAAACAUUUUAUAAUACACGUUUUAUACACAAGGAAAUAGAUCUGUUACUUUAAGACCACUAAAAAAUGGCAAAAAACCCUAUUUUGCAUGGUUGGAUCUUAACAAGGUUCCAAGUAGAACUUCAACAUGCAACAAGAAGAAAUGGGAGUGAGACGAAACAUUUUUUUGAGCAAUUUAUUGAAAACAACUGUUAAACUGAAACAGGCUGUUUUACAGCUGAUCAGUGGUUUAGGACCACGUGCCUUUAAAAGGCCAAAUCUGUGCAGAAAUGUGGAUUCAUUGUCCUUUUCUGUCAGGCAGUCACACUGUCAUGAUGCUCUGAUGGCAAAGGAAAAAAUAACUUUCCCUUUUUAAAUGUGGUCGGGUUGUUGAACUGCAUAAGCAGGGUCUCUCACAGCACGCCAUCACUGCUGAGGUGGGACGCAGUAAGACGGUCAUUUGGAAUUUCUUAAAUUUCUUAAACAAAAAAGUAUGGUGAAGGAUCCAAAAAAAUGUCACCAGGACUGAGCCGGAGGAUCCAAUCAGCUGUCUGUCAAGACACUGGACGAUCCUCGACUCAAAUUAAAGCCGUUACUGGUGCCGACUGCAGCCCAAUAACCAUCAGACGGCAUCUGAGACUGAAGGGCUUCAAGAACAAAAAAAAACGUCUUCAAAGUCUCGUCUCCUUGAACGCCACAGAACUGACUGUUUGGACUUUGCAAGAGAGCACCACACAUGGGACACUGAAAGGUGGAAGAAAGUUCAAGUGGUCUUAAACUUUUGAUCAGGAUUGUAUUACCUCAUGAAGUACAGUCCUGAUCAUGAUCGUGUCUGUUUUUUCAUAUCACCAAUGGACAACAACAGUCACUUCAAGGCAUUUCAUACUGUAAAGUAACCCCUUACAAUAUUAGAGAUAUUUCUUAUGAGCUGCACUUGGCAACAGUGGGAAAGAAGAACUCCCUUUUUACAGGAAGAAUCCUCCAGCAGAAACUCAGGGAGGGAUAUAUAACAUUACAACAUCAGGACAAAAUUCAGUUUCAAAUGAGGUAAAUUAAUAGUUGACGGUUUAAUGUACAGUUUUUAUGUAAAUUUAUUUUCCACUCCUUUCAUGAGCUGCUGCCAGCAGUUAGAUUUCUUUAGAUGGUCAGUUUUAUUAAUGCAUGUACUGCACAUACACGACCUCUGAGUACUGUUAUAGGCAUUUAGCAGCAGAUCUGUAAAUAAUGAUGUAAUGUUGCUACUUACUGUUACUUAGUAUUGAUAUUUCCUCACAGCAGAAGCUUUCCACUUUGUUGUGUUUUAGCACAUUUCCCACACCUAUUACUCUCUAUCAAAAUGUAGUCAAAGUGCUAAAACUACAGUUAUGUACCAGCAGAUAAUGAUCAUUUUACCGAACACAGACAUUUGGCUGUUACCUUUAUUGCUGUGCAUAUUAAUGUGCUUAGCUCUCAUAUUCUGGAUCAUACUAGAUUAUGUGCAAACCGAUCUGAGAAGUUUGUAUUUUCAAUUGAUAAGAAGAGUUUAUCUUAUUACUUCUGCUGCAUAACAGGAAAGAAAGAGGGGGAACAAAGAAAAACGUCAUGUUUAAUAUCAGUGUAGCAGUACAACAUCAAGCUGUUUGUGUGUUUGCACAGAACAGUGACGGUUCGCCUGAGGAGUUCAAAUCAGUUUGUCAUUUAUGAAUUUUCUCUACAGUUUCUUCAGCUUUUCAUUUUCUAAAACUGAAUUUCUCUUUCUGUGCAGGGUGCGACUUAAUCAAAGGGACUAAUGCACAAGUCACAUGUCACUUUGUGUCACGCCUAUUGGAACAAUAUGUGUAAGGAGGAUUCGAGAGAAGUCUGAUCAAAGCUGGUGAGGCUGAACGACACAGGCUAGUCAACAGGACAGAUAACUGAUUUUCCUAGAACAGGUCCCGUGUAUUUUCAAAAAGCAAAUGUGGCACAAAAGUGCCAAAAAGCACAAAAUAUCUGAGGACCAAAUUGGAGUCGCUGGGCGGGGCUACCACAGGAAAUUCACCACUGAUUGGCAAAUGCAGUUACUAUGUAACAAAAUGUGGGCUAGUUCUGAAGACGCACACUGGGACCGUGUUGCUGGAAAUGAGAUACAUGUGAGUGACUGUAGUCGGUCAGAACCAAAUAUUUUCUGUCUUCAGGUUGUUUGUAAAAGAAAUGCGCUUUCUCACUUCAAUGCAACUUUAUCCCCAUAAAUAUCUCAAAGCCCAGUUCAGACUGCUUGAUGGCCCCGACAGAGGUUUGUCGAAAUAGCUUCAGAAACUGUUGUAUAAAUUAUAAUGUACGAACCACAAGUUAUCUCAGUAGCAGAUAAGGUGAGCAGCAGCCAUCUUGGUUAUUUACAAAAGAUCCACAGCAGGGCUCCUCGGUGUAUUUACAUCAAACCUGCCCUGUAUUAGAUGAAUGUUUGUGAUUGGCCUGACACAAACAGGGCUGCGUGGAAAUGUGAAGACGGAUGCAUUCUGCACGAGCUAAGGAAACACAAGCUCUUAUUCAUUUGGUUCCCAGGCUAUAUUUAUUACCCCCCCCCCCCCCCCCCUUUAAAAAAAAAUAAACGGUAUAAGAUAUUGUUUUUGGUUGUGUGAGAAUUUUUGUACAGAAAUAAGUUUCCUGCCAAAAAAAAUUGUGUUUGGUUUCUCAGAUUGGCUCAAGUUCAGCUCGCCAAAAGCCGGAAGCGAUUUAAUAAGGGACACGCUAAAUGGGAGUGGUGAGUGAUUGGAUCUGUUAUGGCAGUGCCAUUUAGAAAAAACCUCUCCUCGCUGCAGCCAUGUUGGUAAUAUCAGAUAUAAAAAUAAAUAAAUAAAAACUC